rnacentral:rRNA from 1 species
CCUACGGGCGGCAGCAGUGGGGAAUAUUGGACAAUGGGGGGAACCCUGAUCCAGCCAUGCCGCGUGUGUGAAGAAGGCCCUCGGGUUGUAAAGCACUUUCAGUGAGGAAGAACGCCUGGUGGUUAAUACCCAUCAGGAAAGACAUCACUCACAGAAGAAGCACCGGCUAACUCCGUGCCAGCAGCCGCGGUAAUACGGAGGGUGCGAGCGUUAAUCGGAAUUACUGGCGUAAAGCGCGCGUAGGUGGCUUGAUAAGCCGGUUGUGAAAGCCCCGGGCUCAACCUGGGAACGGCAUCCGGAACUGUCAAGCUAGAGUGCAGGAGAGGAAGGUAGAAUUCCCGGUGUAGCGGUGAAAUGCGUAGAGAUCGGGAGGAAUACCAGUGGCGAAGGCGGCCUUCUGGACUGACACUGACACUGAGGUGCGAAAGCGUGGGUAGCAAACAGGAUUAGAUACCCCGGUAGUC